GCUGGCAGCUCACAGCAUGGAUAGGUGCACUCUUUGCUGGGUUAAAAACUGCCUGGAUGGCCGAGCCCAGAGAGUGGUGGUGAAUGGAGCUACACCCA